GUGGGGAAUCUUGCGCAAUGGGGGAAACCCUGACGCAGCGACGCCGCGUGGAGGAUGAAGGUCUUCGGGUUGUAAACUCCUUUUCUUGGGGAAAAUAGUGAUGGUACCCAAGGAAUAAGCCACGGCUAACUCUGUGCCAGCAGCCGCGGUAAGACAGAGGUGGCGAGCGUUGUUCGGAAUUACUGGGCUUAAAGGGCGAGUAGGCGGUGGAGCAAGUCUGUUGUGGAAUCCUGCGGCUUAACCGCAGAACUGCGAUAGAAACUGUUUCACUUGAGUCAGUGAGGGGAGGGCGGAAUUCCUGGUGUAGCGGUGAAAUGCGUAGAUAUCAGGAGGAAGGCCUGUGGCGAAGGCGGCCCUCUGGCACUGUACUGACGCUGAGGCGCGAAAGCGUGGGGAGCAAACAGGAUUAGAUACCCCUGUAGUCC
rnacentral:rRNA from 1 species